rnacentral:rRNA from 1 species
GACGAACGCUGGCGGCGUGCCUAAUACAUGCAAGUCGAGCGAAGGUUUGCUAGUGCUUGCACUAUGAAAACUUAGCGGCGAAGGUGUGAGUAACAUGUAAAGAACCUGCCUCAUAGACUGGGACAACUAUUGGAAAGGAUAUCUAAUACCGGAUAACAGUGUUUCUCGCAGGUGAGAUAUUUAAAAGUUUGUUAUGCUAACACUAUGAUAGAGCUUUGCUGUGCAUUAGCUAGUUGGUGGGGUAAAGGCCCACCAAGGCGACGAUGCAUAGCCGACCUGAGAGGGUGAUCGGCCACACUGGGACUGAGACACGGCCCAGACUCCUACGGGAGGCAGCAGUAGGGAAUCUUCCGCAAUGGGCGAAAGCCUGACGGAGCAACGCCGCGUGAGUGAAGAAGGACUUCGGUUCGUAAAGCUCUGUUAUUAGGGAAGAAUGUAUAUGUAGUAACUAGACCUGUAAGAGACGGUACCUAAUCAGAAAGCCACGGCUAACUACGUG